UGACCGUGCGAAUAUUUGCACCAUGGGCGCAAGCCUGAUGCAGCCAUGCCGCGUGUAUGAAGAAGGCCUUCGGGUUGUAAAGUACUUUUCUCAAUGAGGAAGGCGGAUACGUUAAUAGCAAUUUCGUUUGACUUUAGCUGCAGAAGAAGCACCGGCUAACUCCGUGCCAGCAGCCGCGGUAAU
rnacentral:rRNA from 1 species